AAAUGUGAGGGCCAUCUGGCUGCGACAUCUGUCACCCCACUGAUGGCCAGGGUUGAUUCGUCUGAUCUGGCUGCCUAGGCGGGUGUCCCCUUCCUCCCUCACCAAUCCAUGUUUGGCCCUCCCGAAGCUUCUGCUGCUCCCCUAAUAGAGGACAGGUCUUCAGUGAAGGGUAUAGGAGUAGCUGCUCUCCCCUGCUAGAACCUCUAAACAAACCUCUCAAGGACAAAGGGAGUGGCUUAAGUCGGAGUCACCAGCUCUGAGAAACACAGUGGUCUGAUUCUGUGU
rnacentral:snRNA from 1 species